GCACAAGCGGCGGAGCAUGCGGAUUAAUUCGAUGCAACGCGAAGAACCUUACCAAGGCUUGACAUACACCGGUAACGCCAGAGAUGGGUGCCCCUUUGUGGUCGGUGGACAGGUGGUGCAUGGUUGUCGUCAGCUCGUGUCGUGAGAUGUUGGGUUAAGUCCCGCAACGAGCGCAACCCUUAUCAUUAGUUGCUACGCAAGGGCACUCUAAUGAGACUGCCGGUGACAAACCGGAGGAAGGUGGGGAUGACGUCAAGUCCUCAUGGCCCUUAUGGGUAGGGCUUCACGCAUGCUACAAUGGCCGGUACAAAGGGCUGCGAUACCGCGAGGUGGAGCGAAUCCCAGAAAGCCGGUCUCAGUUCGGAUUGGGGUCUGCAACUCGACCCCAUGAAGUCGGAGUCGCUAGUAAUCGCAGAUCAGCAACGCUGCGGUGAAUACGUUCCCGGGCCUU
rnacentral:rRNA from 1 species